rnacentral:lncRNA from 1 species
UGCCCUUUAACAUUUAUUGUCACAACAACAGCUUUCUUUUCUAAACUAUCUUUACAUGGAGAGGAGACGUCAAAAGAGUUCUUCAAACACGUGAGUCGAAAAGUGGUAAAUAACUCCUGUAUGUGACAUUUAGUGGAAGCCAUUCAACAUAUCAUUUUGUCAAACAAUUCAAUCAACACCUUUAUUAAUUAGUCCUUUGUUGUCGAUAGCUGUAAAUUGCAAUCAGCUGAUAAUUGAUUUUC